rnacentral:rRNA from 1 species
CCUACGGGAGGCAGCAGUGAGGAAUAUUGGUCAAUGGACGAGAGUCUGAACCAGCCAAGUAGCGUGAAGGAUGACUGCCCUAUGGGUUGUAAACUUCUUUUAUAUGGGAAUAAAAUGUUCCACGUGUGGGAUUUUGUAUGUAUCAUAUGAAUAAGCAUCGGCUAACUCCGUGCCAGCAGCCGCGGUAAUACGGAGGAUCCGAGCGUUAUCCGGAUUUAUUGGGUUUAAAGGGAGCGUAGGUGGAUUGUUAAGUCAGUUGUGAAAGUUUGCGGCUCAACCGUAAAAUUGCAGUUGAAACUGGCAGUCUUGAGUACAGUAGAGGUAGGCGGAAUGCGUGGUGUAGCGGUGAAAUGCUUAGAUAUCACGAAGAACUCCGAUUGCGAAGGCAGCUCACUGGACUGCAACUGACACUGAGGCUCGAAAGUGUGGGUAUCGAACAGGAUUAGAUACCCUUGUAGUC